rnacentral:rRNA from 1 species
CAGGUAGUCAAGAUGAGAAUUCUAAGGUGAGCGAGCGAACUCUCGUUAAGGAACUCGGCAAAAUGACCCCGUAACUUCGGGAGAAGGGGUGCUCUUUGAGGUUCACGCUUCGAAGAGCCGCAGUGAAUAGGCCCAAGCGACUGUUUAUCAAAAACACAGGUCUCUGCUAAACCGUAAGGUGACGUAUAGGGGCUGACGCCUGCCCGGUGCUGGAAGGUUAAGAGGAGUGGUUAGCGCAAGCGAAGCUACGAAUCGAAGCCCCAGUAAACGGCGGCCGUAACUAUAACGGUCCUAAGGUAGCGAAAUUCCUUGUCGGGUAAGUUCCGACCCGCACGAAAGGCGUAACGAUUUGGGCACUGUCUCAACGAGAGACUCGGUGAAAUCAUAGUACCGGUGAAGAUGCCGGUUACCCGCGACAGGACGGAAAGACCCCGUGGAGCUUUACUGUAGCCUGAUAUUGAAAUUCGGUACAGUUUGUACAGGAUAGGUAGGAGCCUUAGAAGCGUGAGCGCUAGCUUACGUGGAGGCAUUGGUGGGAUACUACCCUAAUUGUAUUGGAUUUCUAACCCGCAGCACUUAUCGUGCUGGGAGACAGUGUCAGGCGGGCAGUUUGACUGGGGCGGUCGCCUCCUAAAGAGUAACGGAGGCGCUCAAAGGUUCCCUCAGAAUGGUUGGAAAUCAUUCAUAGAGUGUAAAGGCAUAAGGGAGCUUGACUGCGAGACCUACAAGUCGAGCAGGGUCGAAAGACGGACUUAGUGAUCCGGUGGUUCCGCAUGGAAGGGCCAUCGCUCAACGGAUAAAAGCUACCCCGGGGAUAACAGGCUUAUCUCCCCCAAGAGUUCACAUCGACGGGGAGGUUUGGCACCUCGAUGUCGGCUCAUCGCAUCCUGGGGCUGUAGUCGGUCCCAAGGGUUGGGCUGUUCGCCCAUUAAAGCGGUACGCGAGCUGGGUUCAGAACGUCGUGAGACAGUUCGGUCCCUAUCCGUCGUGGGCGUAGGAAAUUUGAGAGGAGCUGUCCUUAGUACGAGAGGACCGGGAUGGACAUACCUCUGGUGUACCAGUUGUCGUGCCAACGGCAUAGCUGGGUAGCUAUGUAUGGACGGGAUAAGUGCUGAAAGCAUCUAAGCAUGAAGCCCCCCUCGAGAUGAGAUUUCCCAACUUCGGUUAUAAGAUCCCUCAAAGAUGAUGAGGUGAAU